rnacentral:rRNA from 1 species
AGUAACAUUCUGAAAAAGAAAUAGCUAAUAACCGCAUGACAUAUCGGAACCACAUGGGUUUUGUAUAUCAAAGAUUUAUCGCUUGAAGAUGGACUCGCGUCCGAUUAGUUAGUUGGUGAGGUAACGGCUCACCAAGACCGCGAUCGGUAGCCGGACUGAGAGGUUGAACGGCCACAUUGGGACUGAGACACGGCCCAGACUCCUACGGGAGGGCAGCAUG